rnacentral:misc_RNA from 1 species
UUAAGUUCAGCGGGUAGUCCUACUCGAUUUGAGGUCAAGUUGUCAGAGAGUGUCCUAAGACAGUUAGAAGCCCAGAGCUCCCAAUCGGCCACCCUCUUUCGAGGCGCCGGCGAAGACACUUAUCACGCCGUACUAUGUCCAACCAGGAGGUGCACUAAUGCAUUUCAGGUGAGCCACCGUGAAGCAGCACACCAAGCAUC